rnacentral:rRNA from 1 species
GCCAUGCAUGUCUCAGUACAAGCCAAAUUAAGGUGAAACCGCGAAAGGCUCAUUAAAUCAGUUAUGGUUCCUUAGAUCGUACCCACAUUUACUUGGAUAACUGUGGUAAUUCUAGAGCUAAUACAUGCAAACAGAGCUCCGACCGGAGACGGAAGGAGUGCUUUUAUUAGAUCAAAACCAAUCGGCGGCGGUAGUAUUCCUUAAUCGGGUAUUAUCGUUUGUCGUAAUGUUUGGUGACUCUGAAUAACUUUAUGCUGAUCGCACGGUCUAGCACCGGUGACGCAUCUUUCAAAUGUCUGCCUUAUCAACUGUCGAUGGUAGGUUCUGCGCCUACCAUGGUUGUAACGGGUAACGGGGAAUCAGGGUUCGAUUCCGGAGAGGGAGCCUGAGAAACGGCUACCACAUCCAAGGAAGGCAGCAGGCGCGCAAAUUACCCACUCCCGGCACGGGGAGGUAGUGACGAAAAAUAACGAUACGGGACUCAUCCGAGGCCCCGUAAUCGGAAUGAGUACACUUUAAAUCCUUUAACGAGGACCAAUUGGAGGGCAAGUCUGGUGCCAGCAGCCGCGGUAAUUCCAGCUCCAAUAGCGUAUAUUAAAGUUGUUGCGGUUAAAAAGCUCGUAGUUGAAUUUGUGUCUCGCGCUGUCGGUUCACCGCCCGCGGUGUUUAACUGGCACGUUCGCGGGACGUCCUGCCGGUGGGUGUGUAUCCUUUAUAUACUUCCCCGUUUAUUACAUUACAUGAAUUCCUUAUGGUUACUAGCUUUUUGCUAGUUAAUUAUAUGUGGGUUUUUGUUAUUGUAUGAAUGUGUGUGGGGUUAUAAUUGUUGAUACCAUCCGACUUUUUAAAUAAAUCCUGUCGCGGUGCUCUUGAUUGAGUGUCGAGGCGGGCCGGCACGUUUACUUUGAACAAAUUAGAGUGCUCAAAGCAGGCUAAAAUUUUGCCUGAAUAUUGUGUGCAUGGAAUAAUGGAACAGGACCUCGGUUCUAUUUUGUUGGUUUUCGGAACCCCGAGGUAAUGAUUAAUAGGGACAGAUGGGGGCAUUCGUAUUGCGACGUUAGAGGUGAAAUUCUUGGAUCGUCGCAAGACGGACAGAAGCGAAAGCAUUUGCCAAAAAUGUUUUCAUUAAUCAAGAACGAAAGUCAGAGGUUCGAAGGCGAUCAGAUACCGCCCUAGUUCUGACCAUAAACGAUGCCAGCUAGCGAUCCGCCGACGUUCCUCCGAUGACUCGGCGGGCAGCUUCCGGGAAACCAAAGCUUUUGGGUUCCGGGGGAAGUAUGGUUGCAAAGCUGAAACUUAAAGGAAUUGACGGAAGGGCACCACCAGGAGUGGAGCCUGCGGCUUAAUUUGACUCAACACGGGAAACCUCACCAGGCCCGGACACUGGAAGGAUUGACAGAUUGAGAGCUCUUUCUUGAUUCAGUGGGUGGUGGUGCAUGGCCGUUCUUAGUUGGUGGAGCGAUUUGUCUGGUUAAUUCCGAUAACGAACGAGACUCUAGCCUGCUAACUAGGCGUUACUUACCGGUAUCCUGAAGGCUCGCAUCUUUCGUUUUUUCGUCAUCACCGGAGGUUAAUUUCUAUGUUAUGUUAGUUGCGCGUGGUAUAUAUUCCUUGUGGGUGUAUAGUACGUUGCGCUGCAUGAUAUAGUGUUGCCUUUGUGUGUUUGGGGGUGCGGAAGUUUGCGGUUUUUACUACCGGCGUACAUAUGAAUCUUCUUAGAGGGACAGGCGGCUCCUAGCCGCACGAGAUUGAGCAAUAACAGGUCUGUGAUGCCCUUAGAUGUUCUGGGCCGCACGCGCGCUACACUGAAGGAAUCAGCGUGUCUUCCCUGGCCGAACGGUCCGGGUAACCCGCUGAACCUCCUUCGUGCUAGGGAUUGGGGCUUGCAAUUGUUCCCCAUGAACGAGGAAUUCCCAGUAAGCGCGAGUCAUAAGCUCGCGUUGAUUACGUCCCUGCCCUUUGUACACACCGCCCGUCGCUACUACCGAUUGAAUGAUUUAGUGAGGUCUUCGGACUGGCACGCGGCGGCGUUUCGACAUCGCCGAUGUCGCUGGGAAGAUGACCAA